rnacentral:rRNA from 1 species
AUGCCGAAGGCUGCGGGGGAUGCCAAGCUCCUGUUCCAGUCCCUGAACAAGGCCUAUGCCGCCACGCCCACGAACCUCAAGGCAAUUGCCAUUCUCUCUCGUGUUACCGUCAACCUGUGGCCACAGUCAGACUACCUGAUUGCUGAUCCUAUUCUAACAUUUCUGCAGAUCAUUGACCUGUAUGUGGUUUUCGCCAUGGCGACUGCCCUUGUUCAGGUUGUUUACAUGGGAGUAGUUGGGUCAUUUCCCUUCAACUCGUUCCUCUCAGGUGUCCUGUCGUGCAUAGGAAGUGCAGUUCUUGCUGUGUGCCUCCGUAUUCAAGUCAACAAUGACAACAAGGAAUUCAAGGAUUUUCCUCCAGAAAGGGCCUUUGCAGACUUCGUCCUGUGCAACCUGGUGCUCCACCUGGUGAUCAUGAACUUCCUCGGAUAA